GAUGAACGCUAGCUACAGGCUUAACACAUGCAAGUCGAGGGACCGGCGCACGGGUGAGUAACACGUAUCCAACCUACCCUUUACUCGGGGAUAGCCUUUCGCAAGAAAGAUUAAUCCCUGCUAUAAAGGAUGGGGAUGCGUUCCAUUAGGUUGUUGGUGAGGUAACGGCUCACCAAGCCUUCGAUGGUUAGGGGUGCGGAUAGGAAGGUCCCAGAGAAUGGAACGGAGACACGGUCCAAACGCGUAGGUGAGGGAGCAGUUAGGAAGAUUGGUGAAUGGGCGCUAGCAUGAACCAGCCAAGUAGAGUGAAGGAUGAAGGCUUAUGGGGCGUAAACUUGUUUGAUAUAAGAAUCUGUAUUAUAUGAAGAAGGAACGGCUAACUCCGUGCCAGCAGCCGCGGUAAUUC
rnacentral:rRNA from 1 species